rnacentral:other from 1 species
CUUUCAGAGCAACUUCCAUUAAAACAAGGAUUGAAAC